rnacentral:rRNA from 1 species
CACGUAGGUGGCGAUGCAAGUCAAAGGUGAAAGCCCUCGGCUCAACCGAGGAACUGCCUUUGAAACUGCGUUGCUUGAGUCCGGGAGGGGGGAGCGGAAUUCCCAGUGUAGCGGUGAAAUGCGUAGAUACUGGGAGGAACACCGGUGGCGAAGGCGGCUCCCUGGACCGGUACUGACGCUGAGGUGCGAAAGCGUGGGUAGCAAACA